rnacentral:rRNA from 1 species
UACAGAGGUCUCAAGCGUUGUUCGGAUUCAUUGGGCGUAAAGAGCGUGUAGGCGGCCAGGUAGGUCGGUUGUGAAAACUGGAGGCUCAACCUUCAGAGGUCGACCGAAACCAUCUGGCUAGAGUCCGGGAGAGGAGAGUGGAAUUCCUGGUGUAGCGGUGAAAUGCGCAGAUAUCAGGAAGAACACCCGUGGCGAAAGCGGCUCUCUGGAACGGUACUGACGCUGAGACGCGAAAGCGUGGGGAGCGAACAGG